UAUGGCGACCGGCGCACGGGUGAGUAACACGUAUCCAACCUGCCGAUGACUCGGGGAUAGCCUUUCGAAAGAAAGAUUAAUACCCGAUGGCAUAGUUCUUCCGCAUGGUGGAACUAUUAAAGAAUUUCGGUCAUCGAUGGGGAUGCGUUCCAUUAGGUUGUUGGCGGGGUAACGGCCCACCAAGCCUUCGAUGGAUAGGGGCUCUGAGAGGAAGGUCCCCCACAUUGGAACUGAGACACGGUCCAAACUCCUACGGGAGGCAGCAUG
rnacentral:rRNA from 1 species